rnacentral:rRNA from 1 species
AGUGAACGCUGGCGGUAGGCCUAACACAUGCAAGUCGAACGGCGGCACAGUAAGAGCUUGCUCUUACGGGUGGCGAGUGGCGGACGGGUGAGGAAUACAUCGGAAUCUACUUUUUCGUGGGGGAUAACGUAGGGAAACUUACGCUAAUACCGCAUACGACAUACGGGUGAAAGCAGGGGAUCUUCGGACCUUGCUCGAUUGAAUGAGCCGAUGUGGGAUUAGUUAGUUGGGGGGGUAAAGGCCCACCAAGGCGACGAUCCGUAGCUGGUCUGAGAGGAUGAUCGGCCACACUGGAACUGAGACACGGUCCAGACUCCUACGGGAGGCAGCAGUGGGGAAUAUUGGACAAUGGGCGCAAGCCUGAUCCAGCCAUACCGCGUGGGUGAAGAAGGCCUUCGGGUUGUAAAGCCCUUUUGUUGGGAAAGAAAAGCAGCAGGUUAAUACCCCGCUGUUCUGACGGUACCCAAAGAAUAAGCACCGGCUAACUUCGUG